GACGAACGCUGGCGGCGUGCCUAAUACAUGCAAGUCGAGCGAAGCGGCGGUUGGGUGAGUAACGCGUGGGUAACCUGCCCUUAAGUGUGGGAUAUCAUUUGGAAACAGAUGCUAAUACCAGAUACUAAUGGAGGGACCUGCGAUUCAGUAGCUAGGUGGUAAGGUAACGGCUUACCAAGGCGAUGAUGCAUAGCCGAGUUGAGAGGCUGAUCGGCAACAUUGGGACUGAGACACGGCCCAGACUCCUACGGGAGGCAGCAGUAGGGAAUCUUCCACAAUGGACGAAAGUCUGAUGGAGCAACGCCGCGUGAGUGAAGAAGGUUUUCGGAUCGUAAAGCUCUGUUGUUGGUGAAGCGGUAAUCAACCAGAAAGCCACGGCUAACUACGUGCCAGCAGCCGCGGUAAUAC
rnacentral:rRNA from 1 species